rnacentral:rRNA from 1 species
AUGGAGAUGGACUUUCUGGGCCCACGAUCGGCGCCGCGGCAUGCGAUGCCGCUCGUGGCGCGACGCGAUGCCGAGGACGACGGCGAGCCCUGGCGUCUCGCUUCACCGGCACACUUCGCGUACCCGGACGUGCGCGCGGCGGCGGCUCAUCGCCACCACCCGACGGCGCCGUCGUACCAGAUGCACGCGCCGCCGCCGCUGCAUCCCCAGGCCUUCCCGUGCGCCAUUCCCGCCUCGUCCCUGCAAGGCCCGCAGGUAGUCCACCGUGCUGCGUACUCGCCUGAUCGGAGGUGCUCCGCCGCGCAGCUGACGAUAUUCUACGCAGGUUCAGUCCAUGUGUUCGACAACGUGACGAAGGAAAAGGCCGAGCAGAUCACGUUCAUGGCCGCGAAGGCAGCUCAAGCAGGCCGCAGCCCUCCCCUUCGUCGGGCGCUGCGGCAAUCGGAAUCUGCUCCGGUCCCCGACGAGAGAAAGCAGAUGCCAUUGGCGAGAGCUUGCAGCGAUCCUGUGCACCCUUCGCCACAGGCAUUUUUCAUGCUGCCGCAUAGAGAUGUUCCGCUGGCCAGGAGUGCGUCCCUUGCCCGCUUCCUCGAGAGACGCAAGCGAAAGGAAAGGACAGCAAAUGCAGCAACGCCUUACUCUCGCAGGGAGAUAUCCCCUGGUAGCGUGGACACUUUCCGCAUGGUCUCGCCAGGAAGCACAACACUAUCCGGCAACACCGAACUGUCAUGGUUCUUCGGAGAUGAAAAGCUGGGAAGCCGCGACGAGGAGGCGCUGGACACGGAGCUCAAGAUGUAG